ensembl:misc_RNA Metazoa_SRP Metazoan signal recognition particle RNA
GCCAGGCACGGUGGCACAUUCCUGUAUUCCCAGCUACUUGGGAGGCUGAGGCUGGAGAAUCGCUUGAGUCGAGGAGUUCUGGGCUGUAGUGCGCUAUGCCAAUCCGGUGUCUGCACUAAGUUCGGCAUCAAUAUGGUGACCUCCUGGAAGCGGGGAACCACCAGCUUGCCUAAGGAGGGGUGAACUGGCCCAGGUCGGAAACGGAGCAGGUCAAAACUCCCGUGCUGAUCAGUAGUGGGAUAGCGCCUGUAAAUAUCCACUGCACGCCAGCCUGGGCAACAUAGCGAGACCCCAUCUCUU